UGGUGGAGUGAUCUGUCUGGUUAAUUCCGAUAACGAACGAGACCUUAACCUGCUAACUAGUCACUUGAACUUUGGUUCAAGCCGACUUCUUAGAGGGACAAUUGAUGUUUAAUCAAUGGAAGUUUGAGGCAAUAACA
rnacentral:rRNA from 1 species